rnacentral:rRNA from 1 species
GACGAACGCUGGCGGCGUGCUUAACACAUGCAAGUCGAACGGAAAGGCCCUGCUUUUGUGGGGUGCUCGAGUGGCGAACGGGUGAGUAACACGUGAGUAACCUGCCCUUGACUUUGGGAUAACUUCAGGAAGCUGGGGCUAAUACCGUAUAGGAGCUCCUGCUGCAUGGUGGGGGUUGGAAAUUUUCGGCGGUUGGGGAUGGACUCGCGGCUUAUCAGCUUGUUGGUGGGGUAGUGGCUUACCAAGGCUUUGACGGGUAGCCGGCCUGAGAGGGUGACCGGCCACAUUGGGACUGAGAUACGGCCCAGACUCGUACGGGAGGCAGAAGUGGGGAAUAUUGUCCAAUGGGCGGAAGCCUGAUGCAGCAACGCCGCGUGCGGGAUGACGGCCUUCGGGUUGUAAACCGCUUUCGCCUGUGACGAAGCGUGAGUGACGGUAAUGGGUAAAGAAGCACCGGCUAACUACGUG